UUAUGUAAGAAAAAGAAACGCUGAGGAAGUUUGAUGAGUUUGUUAUGUGAAGAAGUUUGUGAGGACAUCAUUUAUAAGGAGGAGACGACAAAUAUAAGUCAACAAAGGGGCGGCCGAGUGGCAGUUUUGGUAAUUAAAUCCAUAUUACGUGGCUUCUUUUUUUUGUCUCCACGAAAGAGGAAAGUGAGAGUGAAGAAGCU
rnacentral:sRNA from 1 species